rnacentral:rRNA from 1 species
GUGAACGCUGGCGGUAGGCCUAACACAUGCAAGUCGAACGGCAGCACAGUAAGAGCUUGCUCUUACGGGUGGCGAGUGGCGGACGGGUGAGGAAUACAUCGGAAUCUACUUUUUCGUGGGGGAUAACGUAGGGAAACUUACGCUAAUACCGCAUACGACCUACGGGUGAAAGCAGGGGAUCUUCGGACCUUGCGCGACUGAAUGAGCCGAUGUCGGAUUAGCUAGUUGGCGGGGUAAAGGCCCACCAAGGCGACGAUCCGUAGCUGGUCUGAGAGGAUGAUCAGCCACACUGGAACUGAGACACGGUCCAGACUCCUACGGGAGGCAGCAGUGGGGAAUAUUGGACAAUGGGCGCAAGCCUGAUCCAGCCAUACCGCGUGGGUGAAGAAGGCCUUCGGGUUGUAAAGCCCUUUUGUUGGGAAAGAAAAGCAGCAGGUUAAUACCCCGCUGUUCUGACGGUACCCAAAGAAUAAGCACCGGCUAACUUCGUG